rnacentral:snRNA from 1 species
AUGUGGCUGUGAGGUUCCUUUAA